rnacentral:rRNA from 1 species
UACGUAGGGGGCAAGCGUUGUCCGGAAUCAUUGGGCGUAAAGCGCGUGUAGGCGGUCCGGUAAGUCCGCUGUGAAAGUCGGGGGCUCAACCCUCGGAUGCCGGUGGAUACUGUCGGGCUUGAGUACGGAAGAGGCGAGUGGAAUUCCUGGUGUAGCGGUGAAAUGCGCAGAUAUCAGGAGGAACACCAUGUCGAAGGCAGGCUCUGGGCGUAC